rnacentral:misc_RNA from 1 species
GAUGAAGAACGUAGUGAAAUGCGAUAAGUAGUGUGAAUUGCAGAAUUCAGUGAAUCAUCGAAUCUUUGAACGCACAUUGCGCCCCAUGGUAUUCCGUGGGGCAUGCCUGUUCGAGCGUCAUUUACCCCCUCAAGCUCCGCUUGGUGUUGGGCGUCUGUCCCGCUUCGCGCGCGGACUCGCCCCAAAGGUAUUGGCAGCGGUCGUGCCAGCUUCUCGCGCAGCACAUUGCGCUUCUCGAGGCACCGGUGGGCCCGCGUCCAUCAAGCUCACCCCCCCAGUUUGACCUCGGAUCAGGUAGGGAUACCCGCUGAACUUAAGCAUAUCAAUAGCGGAGGA